GGGGCCAUAGCUCAGCUGGGAGAGCGCCGCCGUGGCACGGCGGAGGUCGGGGGUUCGAGCCCCCCUGGCUCCA
rnacentral:tRNA from 1 species